rnacentral:rRNA from 1 species
GACGAACGCUGGCGGCGUGCUUAACACAUGCAAGUCGAACGGAAAGGCCCUGCUUUUGUGGGGUGCUCGAGUGGCGAACGGGUGAGUAACACGUGAGUAACCUGCCCUUGACUUUGGGAUAACUUCAGGAAACUGGGGCUAAUACCGGAUAGGAGCUCCUGCUGCAUGGUGGAGGUUGGAAAGUUUCGGCGGUUGGGGAUGGACUCGCGGCUUAUCAGCUUGUUGGUGGGGUGGUGGCUUACCAAGGCUUUGACGGGUAGCCGGCCUGAGAGGGUGACCGGCCACAUUGGGACUGAGAUACGGCCCAGACUCCUACGGGAGGCAGCAGUGGGGAAUAUUGCACAAUGGGCGGAAGCCUGAUGCAGCAACGCCGCGUGCGGGAUGACGGCCUUCGGGUUGUAAACCGCUUUCGCCUGUGACGAAGCGUGAGUGACGGUAAUGGGUAAAGAAGCACCGGCUAACUACGUG